GCACAAGCGGUGGAGCAUGUGGAUUAAUUCGAUGCAACGCGAAGAACCUUACCAGCCCUUGACAUGUGACUCGCCGGCUCCAGAGACGGAGCCUUCGGUUCGGCCGGAGUCAACACAGGUGCUGCAUGGCUGUCGUCAGCUCGUGUCGUGAGAUGUUGGGUUAAGUCCCGCAACGAGCGCAACCCUCGCCCUUAGUUGCCAUCAUUUGGUUGGGCACUCUAAGGGGACUGCCGGUGAUAAGCCGAGAGGAAGGUGGGGAUGACGUCAAGUCCUCAUGGCCCUUACGGGCUGGGCUACACACGUGCUACAAUGGCGGUGACAAUGGGAUGCGAUGGCGCGAGCCGGAGCCGAUCCUAAAAAACCGUCUCAGUUCGGAUUGCACUCUGCAACUCGAGUGCAUGAAGUUGGAAUCGCUAGUAAUCGAGGAUCAGCAUGCCUCGGUGAAUACGUUCCCGGGC
rnacentral:rRNA from 1 species